rnacentral:rRNA from 1 species
AUUGAACGCUGGCGGCAGGCCUAACACAUGCAAGUCGAGCGGUUGAGGUAGCUUGCUACCGAAGCAGCGGCGAACGGGUGAGUAAUACAUGGGAAUCUGCCUGGUAGUGGGGGACAACGUUUCGAAAGGAACGCUAAUACCGCAUACGCCCUACGGGGGAAAGGGGGGGAUCGCAAGACCUCUCGCUAUCAGAUGAGCCCAUGGCAGAUUAGCUUGUUGGUGAGGUAAAGGCUCACCAAGGCGACGAUCUGUAACUGGUCUGAGAGGAUGAUCAGUCACACUGGAACUGAGACACGGUCCAGACUCCUACGGGAGGCAGCAGUGGGGAAUAUUGGACAAUGGGGGCAACCCUGAUCCAGCCAUGCCGCGUGUGUGAAGAAGGCCUUAGGGUUGUAAAGCACUUUCAGUGGGGAGAAAGGUGGUUCACCUAAUACGUGAGCCAAUUGAUGCUACCCACAGAAGAAGCACCGGCUAACUCCGUGCCAGCAGCCGCCGCAG